UGGGGAAUUUUGGACAAUGGGCGAAAGCCUGAUCCAGCAAUGCCGCGUGUGUGAAGAAGGCCUUCGGGUUGUAAAGCACUUUUGUCCGGAAAGAAAUCCUUGGCUCUAAUACAGUCGGGGGAUGACGGUACCGGAAGAAUAAGCACCGGCUAACUACGUGCCAGCAGCCGCGGUAAUACGUAGGGUGCAAGCGUUAAUCGGAAUUACUGGGCGUAAAGCGUGCGCAGGCGGUUUGCUAAGACCGAUGUGAAAUCCCCGGGCUCAACCUGGGAACUGCAUUGGUGACUGGCAGGCUAGAGUAUGGCAGAGGGGGGUAGAAUUCCACGUGUAGCAGUGAAAUGCGUAGAGAUGUGGAGGAAUACCGAUGGCGAAGGCAGCCCCCUGGGCCAAUACUGACGCUCAUGCACGAAAGCGUGGGGAGCAAACAGGAUUAGAUACCCCUGGUAGUCCACGCCCUAAACGAUGUCAACUAGUUGUUGGGGAUUCAUUUCCUUAGUAACGUAGCUAACGCGUGAAGUUAACCGCCUGGGGAGUACGGUCGCAAGAUUAAAACUCAAAUGAAUUGACGGGGUCAUAGCUG
rnacentral:rRNA from 1 species